rnacentral:snoRNA from 1 species
UAUACCAUAAAAGAACCCUUGGUUGGUUCAAUCAGGGGCCUAAAGGACUGUCUUCCUGUGGUCUGUUGGCUGUCCUGGAAUCUCAGCAGAGAGUGGCUAUUUCAUUUGGAAGAAAAAAUC